AUUGAACGCUGGCGGCAUGCCUUACACAUGCAAGUCGAACGGCAGCGGACCUUCGGGUGCCGGCGAGUGGCGAACGGGUGAGUAAUGCAUCGGAACGUACCUUUCAGUGGGGGAUAACGUAGCGAAAGUUACGCUAAUACCGCAUAUUCUGUGAGCAGCAAAGCAGGGGAUCGCAAGAGCUUGCGCUGAUUGAGCGGCCGAUGUCAGAUUAGCUAGUUGGUGAGGUAAAGGCUCACCAAGGCGACGAUCUGUAGCGGGUCUGAGAGGAUGAUCCGCCACACUGGAACUGAGACACGGGCCAGACUCCUACGGGAGGCAGCAGUGGGGAAUUUUUGACAAUGGGGGCAACCCUGAUCCAGCCAUGCCGCGUGAGUGAAGAAGGCCUUCGGGUUUUAAAGCUCUUUCGGCCGGGAAGAAAUCGCACGGGCUAAUACCCUGUGUGGAUGACGGUACCGGAAUAAGAAGCACCGGCUAACUACGUGCCAGCAGCCGCGGUAAGAC
rnacentral:rRNA from 1 species